ACACAAUUUCCGUUUAUUAGUAGACGUGAAAAGGCUUAAGUUACUGGACUAUUUAACAGGUCUCAAUGUAACAGGUAGUCCUGAGAACUGUCAACGCAUUAGUCCUGUGAGCAAUAUGACCGAUAACCCUCAUCUACUUCAUGAGAUGUUGCAGGUGGAGUAUGGUGAAAUCACCAUACCCACAUAUAAAGGGCCCUUCAAAGGACAUUAAAUUAAAGCAAUGAUCAAAUUGCUUCUCGAAUGUGGUGACAGGGCUCCCAAAUUUUGUUGCCCAGGCUUCCACCUGUGAGUUUUGAUAGUUUGGAUGUGUCUACCUUACUUGGUAGACUCCAAAAGUUAGAGGGAGAGAUGACAGCUCUGAAACAAUCUGUGUUGUGUCAGGCAAAAGUUUCAGAAGAUCUGCAGCUAGUUGCUUCAGAAAUGGAUUUGCGUGUCUUUGUUCAGUGCAGCACCAAAAGCUAAAUCCACGUCUAUGAAGUCUGAUGUUCUUGAUGUACCGGUGCAGCAAGAAGCCGAAAUAGAUUAUUCUUGGAGCCAGGUAGUAUGUGGUGGGAGGCGUAGAGCUUCAUCUGAUGAGUCCGUCAACAGGCAAACAACAAACGUUCGGGUGACGAAA